UACAGAGGGUGCAAGCGUUAAUCGGAAUUACUGGGCGUAAAGCGUGCGUAGACGGUUAUUUAAGUCAGGUGUGAAAGCCCCGGGCUCAACCUGGGAAUUGCAUUUGAGACUGAAUAGCUAGGGUGCGGAAGAGGGAAGCGGAAUUUCCGGUGUAGCGGUGAAAUGCGUAGAUAUUGGGAGGAACACCAGUGGCGAAGGCGGCUCACUGGACCGGUACUGACGCUGAGGCGCGAAAGCGUGGGGAGCAAACAGG
rnacentral:rRNA from 1 species